UACGAAGGGGGCUAGCGUUGUCCGGAAUUAUUGGGCGUAAAGGGCUCGUAGGCGGUUUGCCGCGUCGGGAGUGAAAACUCAGGGCUCAACCCUGAGCGUGCUUCCGAUACGGGCAGACUAGAGGUAUGCAGGGGAGAACGGAAUUCCUGGUGUAGCGGUGGAAUGCGCAGAUAUCAGGAGGAACACCGGUGGCGAAGGCGGUUCUCUGGGCAUGACCUGACGCUGAGGAGCGAAAGCAUGGGGAGCGAACAGG
rnacentral:rRNA from 1 species